UCAUUAGCAAACAUACAAUACGUUUCUAGCUUACCGCAUUCACCCGUAAAAAAAAUAGUUUUUAUUCCACAUCACCCCUCUUCCUCCCCCCACCCCGUUCAAUCCGAACCAAUCAUUGGCGUCAAUUUUUUUUGAUGGAAAUCGAAAUAUAAAAUCGUUGAAAACCUCCAAAUCUUCCCCUUUUUUCUGAAGGAUCCCGUUAUUUGUUAAUAAUUCAUAUUUUUGGGAUUAAGAUUACCAUGGCAAGGUAAGUUAAUAAGAUUUUAGUUUUGACUCUUACUGUAAGUGGUCCAAUUUUCCCUUCAUCUUUAUUCCUCUAUACUUAUUUUUGGUACUUAAAUGUUUCAGCCAAUGCAUAUGCAACUCUAAAAUAGAAGUGGUGGAGCUUCUUGAGAAAAUCAAGGACAUCCUUGAUAAAUGCCCGUGCCCACACAGCAGAAGGGGUGGCCAGUUGUCAGCUGGCAUGACGUCUACACCAGACGUCCAAACCCCUAUCACAAAAAAUGGAAGCGUGCCGGCUACGCCAAAAGCACCAAAGAGACCGUGUAAACCGCGUACGCUUGUGGACCAGGAGGAGUCCCUCCGGUGGGAGGUCUCUCCCAUAGGGUAAGAUCAUAUUUUUUUCGCUUUUAUGAGAUUAUAUUUCAUCAAUAAAAGUACAAAUCUAAACCCAAUGAAUCAAUUAGAUUGUAUUUAUUAAAAGGUUAAUUUUUCUUUUUUUUUCGCUAUUUUUUUAGGCAAGAGAAAAGUGUAAUAGAGAUUUCUUCGUAGGUUUUAAUUUUUUUUCUUUUCUUUUCGAUUUGUCAUAUUUAAGAGGAAACUGCUUCAAUUUUGUUUUUUUUUUUGUUUAUCUCAAUAAGAUCGGAGGGGUCCAUGGCCAGCGACAGAGACGUCGCGUUCAUGGACUUGUGUCUGGAGGAUUCAGACAUCCUCAUUCCCCCGUAAGUCACUACACCCAAAUCUUGCGUUCUUUGUCAAUUUCUUUUACAAAAUUAUCUUUCAUAUUACUCAUCAUUUUUUUCUGUCAAUUUCAGAUCCCAGUUCCACAUGGAUGAGGCGAAGAAGCUUCUGAUGUAAUUUUGUUUUCUGAAUACAAUGUUUUAGUUGUAAAGAUUUGUUUUCUUUGUUUUUCAUAUAUCGUUAAAAACAUAUGGAUGACAGUUUUUUCGAUCAAAUUCGAUUUUUUUAUUCAAACUAUGCGGAAGAUUCCAUAUUUCUUGUAAUAC